ACAUGCAAGUCGAGGGGCAGCAUGAACUUAGCUUGCUAAGUUUGAUGGCGACCGGCGCACGGGUGAGUAACACGUAUCCAACCUGCCGAUGACUCGGGGAUAGCCUUUCGAAAGAAAGAUUAAUACCCGAUGGCAUAGUUCUUCCGCAUGGUAGAACUAUUAAAGAAUUUCGGUCAUCGAUGGGGAUGCGUUCCGUUAGGUUGUUGGCGGGGUAGCGGCCCACCAAGCCUUCGAUGGAUAGGGGUUCUGAGAGGAAGGUCCCCCACAUUGGAACUGAGACACGGUCCAAACUCCUACGGGAGGCAGCAGUGAGGAAUAUUGGUCAAUGGACGAGAGUCUGAACCAGCCAAGUAGCGUGAAGGAUGACUGCCCUAUGGGUUGUAAACUUCUUUUAUACGGGAAUAAAGUGAGGCACGUGUGCCUUUUUGUAUGUACCGUAUGAAUAAGGAUCGGCUAACUCCGUGCCAGCAGCCGCGGUAAUACGGAGGAUCCGAGCGUUAUCCGGAUUUAUUGGGUUUAAAGGGAGCGUAGGCGGACGCUUAAGUCAGUUGUGAAAGUUUGCGGCUCAACCGUAAAAUUGCAGUUGAUACUGGGUGUCUUGAGUACAGUAGAGGCAGGCGGAAUUCGUGGUGUAGCGGUGAAAUGCUUAGAUAUCACGAAGAACUCCGAUUGCGAAGGCAGCUUGCUGGACUGUAACUGACGCUGAUGCUCGAAAGUGUGGGUAUCAAACAGGAUUAGAUACCCUGGUAGUCCACACAGUAAACGAUGAAUACUCGCUGUUUGCGAUAUACAGUAAGCGGCCAAGCGAAAGCGUUAAGUAUUCCACCUGGGGAGUACGCCGGCAACGGUGAAACUCAGAGGAAUUGACGGGGGCCCGCACAAGCGGAGGAACAUGUGGUUUAAUU
rnacentral:rRNA from 1 species